rnacentral:piRNA from 1 species
AGGCAAAAUAUCAUGAGUGC